GUAGGGAAUAUUGGGCAAUGGUCGGAAGACUGACCCAGCCAUGCCGCGUGCAGGAAGACGGCCCUCUGGGUUGUAAACUGCUUUUAUCUGGGAAGAAAAAGGCCAUGCGUGGCAAAUUGCCGGUACCAGAUGAAUAAGCACCGGCUAACUCCGUGCCAGCAGCCGCGGUAAUACGGAGGGUGCGAGCGUUGUCCGGAUUUAUUGGGUUUAAAGGGUGCGUAGGCGGCUGAUUAAGUCAGCGGUGAAAGACUUCGGCUUAACCGGAGCAGUGCCGUUGAUACUGGUUGGCUUGAGUGUCGGAAGGGUACAUGGAAUUGAUGGUGUAGCGGUGAAAUGCAUAGAUACCAUCAGGAACACCGAUAGCGAAGGCAUUGUACUGGCCGACAACUGACGCUGAUGCACGAAAGUGUGGGGAUCGAACAGGAUUAGAUACCCUGGUAGUCC
rnacentral:rRNA from 1 species